rnacentral:rRNA from 1 species
AUUGAACGCUGGCGGCAGGCCUAACACAUGCAAGUCGGGCGAGCGGCGGACGGGUGAGUAAUGUAUGGGGAUCUGCCUGAUGGCGGGGGAUAACUACUGGAAACGGUAGCUUAUACCGCAUACCAUCAGUUGAACCUAUAUGGGAUUAGCUGGUAGGUGAGGUAACGGCUUACAUAGGCGACGACCCCCAGCUGGUCCGAGAGUAAGAUGAGCCACGCUGGAACUGAGAAAGGGCCCGAACUCUUACGGUAGUAGGCAGUGGGGAAUAUGGCACAUUGGGCGCAAGCCUGAUGCGGCCAUGCGGCGUGUAUGAAGAAGGCCUUCGGGUUGUAAAGUACGUUCAGUCGGGAGAUGUUACCGGAAGAGGAAGCACCGGCUAACUACGUGCCAGCAGCCGCGGUAAUAC